rnacentral:rRNA from 1 species
UACGGAGGAUCCGAGCGUUAUCCGGAUUUAUUGGGUUUAAAGGGUGCGCAGGCGGGAGAUUAAGUCGGCGGUGAAAUUUUGCGGCUCAACCGUAAAAGUGCCUUCGAAACUGGUUUCCUUGAGUGUAGAUGAAGUAGGCGGAAUUUGUGGUGUAGCGGUGAAAUGCUUAGAUAUCACGAGGAACUCCGAUUGCGCAGGCAGCUUACUAAACUACUACUGACGCUCAGGCACGAAGGCGUGGGGAUCAAACAGGAUUAGAUACCCUGGUAGUCCCUGA